GCUCUUGUGGCGGAACUGGUAGACGCGCGCGACUCAAAAUCGCGUUUCCUCCGGAAGUGGGAGUUCGAUUCUCCCCGGGAGCACCA
rnacentral:tRNA from 2 species